ACAACCAGGUUGCUUAGCACGACGGCCUUUCAUAUCUAUGUCCACAAGUGGAAACGAGACUUGGGAGAUUGUCCAACGCUAAUGGAUGUUGGUUCGAACUCCCUGACUGCACCAGUGGAUAUACCUGCACGUGGCUGCUCCCGGGAAACUUGUCAAGCAUUUAUGCACGGUGUGUCACGAGGAUCCCACGGUGUACCCACGGAACCGUCGGGCAAUCCGGGUUCCGCCUGGCUCAAGGGAGGGUGAUCACUUUCGUGGGAAGUGCAGCUCGCCUAUGCCCUAAUGGAGGAGUGCCCAGACAUUUUUACCCCAAGAUCUACUUUUCAAGCAGCCAGCCUCUCGCGAGCUACCGACGCGGGACAUUUUAAGGUGUGUGGCUCCAUCUUUGGAAUUGUUCCUCCACCUGCUCCCUGCUCGCACUGCAGAUCACAAUAUCAUCAGCGAACAUCAUAGUCCAAGGGGACUCCAGUAUAACCUCAUCUGUCAGCCUAUCCAUUACUACCACAAACAGAGAAAGUCGUGCAGCGCCCGGAGCCGUGUGGCGGCGCAUUCUUGACUUGUUCUGUCAGCGAGGCGCUAAAGAACCGGAGAAGAGCCGGUGAAAUCCCAUCCCGCAGCACUGGUGACUGGUUACGUCAGCACUUCUCAUGUCCCACAAAGCCCCUGAAGAAGCCUGACACACAAUGUGUACACACACACUCGCCGACAAUGAGAAGAAAGAUCCGCCCGCCAGUGUUUUAAACAAUGGCCUUCGUUGCUCUGUGUUUACGUGUCCUCUGUGCUCGGUUUCUGUCUAUAGCACGGUGAACAAACACACCAGCUAUAUUCUCUCUAAUGAUGACUGUAGGCAUUACUGCAGUUAUGAAUGAAUUAGAAGGCAAUUUGUAUGCUUUUAUUUGCCUUCAAUGAAAAUGUUGAACUCCCGGCAGAAUGACUUUGCAGGAAUGCUCGAGAAUCACGGUGGCAAAACUAUUGGCACACCUGGCUAGUGGACAAAAAUCCAAACGGAAGACAGUGACAACCCAAUUGUGGCCCAAAUGAGAAACAGCGACCGGCUUCGGAGGUGUCAUCACAGUUUGCAAACUGUCUCGGGUAAAAGUCUCCUUUAAAUGUAGCCAUAAAGUCAUUCAUAUUAGAAUUCUACCUAAAUUUGGACUAUUUCCACAUGUUUGCUUUUUUUCUUUGGCUUUUUGGUGACGUUAUAACACGAGGUUACCAGUGUUGACACAAAGGGGAAAAAUAGUAUGAUGACCAGUAAACAGGAAACACAACUUCAGAAAGUGAUGGGAAAGUCUCUGCGUCCGGGCUGCUAAGCACCACGAGCAUUUGCGCCACAUUGCUACGCUAUGCUAUUGCUAACCUGGCGACAAUGACUGCAAGCAUUCUUAUUUCACCCACCGCUGUUAUGUCAUCAACUACAAAUAUACCGUAAUUUACGGCCUACGACUUUUUUCCACACGCUUUCAACCCUGCGGUUUAUGCGGUGAUGUGGCUGAUUUGUGCAUUAUUUUAUAACGGUCGCAAGGGGGGCACUCGAGCGGAAAAGGUAAGAGUGAGACCGGAUAUAUGUGCCGAGGAAGUGACUUUUAACGGUCUGGCCCUGUUAGCGCUGCGCUAGCGUGUUACUGCCAUGUCUUAGUGACUUUUACCAGUAUGUUUUUUUUUUUAACUGGCCCUGUUAGCGCUGUGCUAGCCUUAGCGUUAGCGCACACGGUGGCGCUAGCGUUAAACUCUCUGUGUACCGUCUUUCUUUGUAAACAUCUCGUCUUUCAAUGUCGGUUUCAACGUGGGCACUUGCGGCUUUUACACGGCUGCGGCGUAUGUAUGUACCAAAUGGUAUUUCCUUUCCAAAUGUACUGGGUGAGGCUUAUAACCAGGUGUGCUCCGUAGGCCGGGAAUUACAGUAGUCAAGUACAACAUAUACAGUAUAUAUACACUUUAUGUACUGUGUUUUUAUGGCUCAUUCGCUUAAAACAUCAAAGCGCAGUGUUGCUGUUUACCUGAGUUGAGAGAGUGGAUACCAAACAAAUUUUGAGCAAGUAUUUGAAUAAAAGUUGACAAAACGACAUCACAAUGCCAAGGAUUUCAAAUCAGCUCAUUUCGCAAGCCUCGUGCAGUUUAUUGACUCCUGCAUUCAAUCGACAAACCGCAUAGAUGGCCAACUGAAACCGAGUCAAGGACUCGUUUUGACCUACUGUGCAUGAAACUUGAAAAACUGAAUUUUGAUGGAGGAGACGUUUAAAGAAGUGGUUAAGUUGUAUAUCCCCGUACUCAUGUUCAUAGUGAGUAGCCCAAAGUUAGCAGUGUGACUUGGUCAAGAGCUCUCACGUAAAAAUGCUGCA